CUUUCAUUGUAACUGCUGCGUUAUUAGCCGGUGUUAGGACGUUAUGCGUUGUCGACUAAUCUAUUUAAGCAUGCAAUGUAGAAAUACCAUUUACUUUCAUGUUUAAAACUAACAAAACUAACAAACUGUAAUAUAUAUUGAGCUAUGGCCCAAAAUAGUGUUAUGCUUGUCCGUAGAUUCACUCUUCAAAAAAAUGUAACGGAUCGCUCGCAGCCUUCAUUUU
rnacentral:telomerase_RNA from 1 species